GACCGCAUAGCUCAGUUGGAAGAGCAUUGGACUAGUACUCCAAAGGUCGUAGGUUCGAAUCCCACCGUGGCCA
rnacentral:tRNA from 1 species